AACCAGUGGCCACCCGUAGGCUCUAUGCGGUGCUUCAUGGAGUAUUUCUAAACUUCUGCUAUUCCAUUUCCCAGCAGCUGUGUGCUAAAACACACGUCAAUCUCCACUCUCUCCUCUUUCAUUCAACCCCCUUGUCUCUCUACAAUCUCUCUCAGUUCUCUCUCUCUCUCUCUACUCCUUUUUUCCCUGCUUAUUUAAAACUCUACAUAACUCUGCAAAAUGCUCUCUCAAUCUCACUUCCUCUCUCUAAAUCCCUCUUUCCUUCCUCUCUCCUCCUCAAAACCCUCCCUCUCUCUCCUCUACCAUCGAUUCCCAACCCUACCAUUCCCUCCUUCAACCCUAACUCUCCACAUCUCUCACCCUACCAAAUCUUCUCCAACAAUGAUUUCAAACUCUAAUCUCUCAAAUCAAAGCGAAACAGUCAACUUAGGUAUCCAACACUCCGAGCUCGAUCGAUUCGCCGGAGUUGGCAACGAGAUCGCCGACGCAGCUGGAGAAGUCAUUCGGAAGUACUUCCGCAAGAGCUUCGACAUUCUCGAUAAAGAAGAUUUCAGUCCUGUUACGAUUGCUGAUCAAUUGGCUGAGGAAGCGAUGGUUUCGAUUAUACAAGCGAAUUUUCCUUCUCAUGCAAUUUUUGGAGAGGAGAAGGGUUGGAGAUGUAAAGAGAAAAUUGCAGAAUAUGUUUGGGUUUUAGAUCCAAUAGAUGGAACAAAAAGUUUUAUAACUGGCAAACCCUUGUUUGGAACUCUUAUUGCUCUGCUACACAGAGGUAAACUGAUUUUUGGUAUAAUUGAUCAACCUGUUUUAAGAGAAAGAUGGAUUGGGAUAAAUGGAAGAAAAACUAUGCUGAAUGGGCAAGAAAUCUCCACGCGCAGUUGUGCAAAGCUUUCACAAGCCUAUCUGUACACAACUAGCCCACAUCUUUUCAAUGGAGAUGCUGAAGUGGCAUUUGCUCGAGUUAGGGAUAAGGUAAAAGUACCACUUUAUGGCUGUGACUGUUAUGCUUAUGCUCUCCUCGCCUCGGGUUUUGUGGAUCUUGUGAUCGAGUCUGGUCUUAAGCCAUACGAUUUCCUCUCACUAAUACCCGUGAUAGAAGGCGCUGGAGGAGUUAUAACUGAUUGGAAAGGGCAUCAACUUCACUGGGAAGCUUCUUCAGAUUCACUUCCAACAAGUUUUAAUGUAUUGGCAGCUGGAGAUAAACAGCUUCACCAACAAGCUCUUGAUUCAUUACAAUGGCAAUAAAUGUUGCCAUUUGAUGGUGUGUACCAUUUUGCAGCUCCUAUUUAGGGGUUUUUUUUUUUUGGCUACCAAGGAAUCUCCCCGAGACAGGCACUUCGGACCAUCCUGGAGUAAAACAUGCAUUUAAGCUUGAACAAUCAAUUUUUUUAAUCUUCAAAUAUCAAUUGGUCAAAUGUGAAACUUUUAUUAGCAAGUCUAUGCCCUUACUUUUUAAUAUAACUUGAUAUUAAUAUGGUGGCCGUACCCUUCUUGACAAAGGUACGUCAUCUAUACUCAUUUCCAUAUUUUUUUUUGUCAAAGAUUGUGUCUUUUUCUGCAGUGAUGUCAAAUAUCACAAGAGAGUUGAAUCCAAAUUGUAACCCAAAAAAUGAUCCACAGAUUAUUAAUUCAUACAGAUUUUGAAUUUCCAGUCA